CCACCCAACACACUGACCUGUUAGAGCCUCUGUAGCCUACCACACACAGGUACUGGACUCACCCAACACACUGACCUGUUAGAGCCACUGUAGCCUACCACACACAGGUACUGGACUCACCCAACACACUGACCUGUUAGAGCCUCUGUAGCCUACCACACACAGGUACUGGACCCACCUACCACACACAGGUACUGGACUCACCCAACACACUGACCUGUUAGAGCCUCUGUAGCCUACCACACACAGGUACUGGACUCACCCAACACACUGACCUGUUAGAGCCACUGUAGCCUACCACACACAGGUACUGGACUCACCCAACACACUGACCUGUUAGAGCCUCUGUAGCCUACCACACACAGGUACUGGACCCACCUACCACACACAGGUACUGGACUCACCCAACACACUGACCUGUUAGAGCCUCUAGCCUUCCACACACAGGUACUGGACCCACCCAACACACUGACCUGUUAGAGCCUCUGUAGCCUACCACACACAGGUACUGGACCCACCCAACACACUGACCUGUUAGAGCCUCUAGCCUACCACACACAGGUACUAGACUCACCCAACACACUGACCUGUUAGAGCCUCUAGCCUACCACACACAGGUACUAGACUCACCCAACACACUGACCUGUUAGAGCCUCUAGCCUACCACACACAGGUACUAGACCCACCCAACACACUGACCUGUUAGAGCCUCUAGCCUACCACACACAGGUACUAGACUCACCCAACACACUGACC